rnacentral:lncRNA from 1 species
AUUUAUAUUCAUGUUUUAUGUUCUUAAAUUAACAUUUUAUUAUUUAAAGGUAUUUUAUAAAUUUUAAAAUUUCAUUGUUUUUGAGUAAAUAAGAACAUUUAGAUAAGUUACUUUUAACUUAAGAAUUCAUGAUUCAAUGGUAUUUUAUAAAUUUUGCUAUUUUGAAUAAAUUAGAUUAAGUUAUGUUUGGUUAGAUAUUAUGGUAUAAUUGUAAUAUACUCCGCUUAAUUAAGAUAUGGUGGAAAUGUUUUUUUUUUUUUGUUCAUUUAAUUGAAAUAAUUGAUUACUGUGUUUUAUAUUAUUAAA